rnacentral:rRNA from 1 species
AUACGGAGGAUCCGAGCGUUAUCCGGAUUUAUUGGGUUUAAAGGGUGCGCAGGCGGCCAUUUAAGUCAGCGGUUAAAUCGUGGGGCUCAACCCCAUUCUGCCGUUGAUACUGGGUGGCUUGAUUGCGGUCGAGGUUGGCGGAAUUCGUUGUGUAGCGGUGAAAUGCAUAGAUAUGACGAAGAACACCGAUUGCGUAGGCAGCUGACCAGACCGCAAAUGACGCUCAUGCACGAAAGUGCGGGGAUCGAACAGGAUUAGAUACCCUGGUAGUCCGCACAGUAAACGAUGAAUACUUGUUUUCGGCGAUAUAAUGUCGGAGGCAAAGCGAAAGCGAUAAGUAUUCCUCCUGGGGAGUACGCCGGCAACGGUGAAACUCAAAUGAAUUGACGGGG